UACGUAGGGUGCAAGCGUUGUCCGGAAUUAUUGGGCGUAAAGAGCUCGUAGGCGGUUUGUCGCGUCUGCUGUGAAAACUCGGGGCUUAACCCCGGGCCUGCAGUGGGUACGGGCAGACUAGAGUGCGGUAGGGGAGUGCGGAAUUCCUGGUGUAGCGGUGAAAUGCGCAGAUAUCAGGAGGAACACCGGUGGCGAAGGCGGCACUCUGGGCCGGUACUGACGCUGAGGAGCGAAAGCGUGGGGAGCGAACAGG
rnacentral:rRNA from 1 species